rnacentral:rRNA from 1 species
UACGUAGGGUCCGAGCGUUGUCCGGAAUUAUUGGGGCGUAAAGGGCUCGUAGGCGGUCCGUCACGUCGGCUGUGAAAACCCGAGGCUCAACCUCGGGCCUGCAGUCGAUACGGGCAGACUAGAGUGCGGUAGGGGAGACUGGAAUUCCUGGUGUAGCGGUGAAAUGCGCAGAUAUCAGGAGGAACACCCGGGUGGGCGAAGG